rnacentral:rRNA from 1 species
UGGGGAAUAUUGCGCAAUGGGCGCAAGCCUGAUGCAGCCAUGCCGCGUGUGUGAAGAAGGCCUUCGGGUUGUAAAGCACUUUCAGCGAGGAGGAAGGUGGUGGACUUAAUACGUUCAUCAAUUGACGUUACUCGCAGAAGAAGCACCGGCUAACUCCGUGCCAGCAGCCGCGGUAAUACGGAGGGUGCAAGCGUUAAUCGGAAUUACUGGGCGUAAAGCGCACGCAGGCGGUUUGUUAAGUCAGAUGUGAAAUCCCCGGGCUCAACCUGGGAACUGCAUUUGAAACUGGCAAGCUAGAGUCUCGUAGAGGGGGGUAGAAUUCCAGGUGUAGCGGUGAAAUGCGUAGAGAUCUGGAGGAAUACCGGUGGCGAAGGCGGCCCCCUGGACGAAGACUGACGCUCAGGUGCGAAAGCGCGGGGAGCAAACAGGAUUAGAUACCCUGGUAGUCCACGCUGUAAACGAUGUCGAUUUUGGAGGUUGUGCCCUUGAGGCGUGGCUUCCGGAGCUAACGCGUUAAAUCGACCGCCUGGGGAGUACGGCCGCAAGGUUAAAACUUAAAUGAAUUGACGGGGUCAUAGCUG